AGUGAACGCUGGCGGUAGGCCUAACACAUGCAAGUCGAACGGCAGCACAGUAAGAGCUUGCUCUUACGGGUGGCGAGUGGCGGACGGGUGAGGAAUACAUCGGAACCUACUUUUUCGUGGGGGAUAACGUAGGGAAACUUACGCUAAUACCGCAUACGACCUACGGGUGAAAGCAGGGGAUCUUCGGACCUUGCGCGAUUGAAUGAGCCGAUGUCGGAUUAGCUAGUUGGCGGGGUAAAGGCCCACCAAGGCGACGAUCCGUAGCUGGUCUGAGAGGAUGAUUCGCCACACUGGAAGUGAGAAACGGUACAGACUCCUACGGGAGGAAGCAGUGGGGAAUAUUGGACAAUGCGGGCAAGCCUGAUCCAGCCAUACCGCGUGGGUGAAGAAGGACUUCGGGUUGUAAAGCCAUUUUGUUGGGAAAGAAAAGCAGCAGGUUAAUACCCCGCUGUUCUGACGGUACCCAAAGAAUAAGCACCGGCUAACUUCGUG
rnacentral:rRNA from 1 species